rnacentral:lncRNA from 1 species
UAUUGAAUCUGUCCUGAUUGACUGAGCGAACACUCCUAUAUAACAUCUCUUCACUGCACAGAUAAUAGAUCAUAUGGUCCACAACAUAUAUAUGUAUAACAUCUCUUUACUGCACAGAUAAUAGAUCAUAUGGUCCAUAACAUAUACAUGUAUAACAUAUCUUUACUGCACAGAUAAUAGAUCAUAUGGUCCAUAACAUAUACACGUAUAACAUAUCUUUACUGCACAGAUAAUAGAUCAUAUGGUCCACAACAUAUACAUGUAUACAUCUCAAAAUAAAUUAAAACACUUGCAGUAAUAAUUAUUUUUGUUCAGCAUUGGAAUGGAUAUUCACUUCACAGGGAAUCAUCAAGUAACAAGUGCAAAAAUAAACAAUUGAAUAAAUAAAAACAUUAGCUAACAACACAUACAUUGAAAUUAACUGAUACAAUGACGAAUAAUAGCUUAUCGUUGAGGAGGCAUGAAGGUUUACCCUUCAAAGCUGGGAAUGUCCGUUUUCCUUUAUACUUGACAUAAAGCAUAAUUCCAAGGAAUAUAGAGUCACGGUAACACUGUUUCAUGUCACAAACAUAUACUUCUGAUGAGUAGCGUAGUCUACACAAAAUAACAGUAUUAUUUACCACAGUAUGACAAUCUGCUUGACAAAUGUUUCCAAUACCUUUUCACACUGCUGAACAAACCAAGCUGAUCUGGUUACUCAUUAACCAUAGAUGCUGGAACCGUGUUUGUAUCGGUCCCUACCCAAAUAAACCAUCAAAUAAAACAUAUCUGAGCUAGUACAGCACAUUUUUGGUCGCUAUUAUAGUGUGAAAAGGGUAUAACUAUGUGGAGAGGAGGAACGUUAGUAUUCCGUAACAAGAGAAGUGUUUCAGACUAAAACAACAACACAAGCUGAUUCAUAACGAGGUCCAAGUUAGUACUAUACAACAGGGAGGUCCAAGUUAGUUAGUACUAUACAACAGGGAGGUCCAAGUCAGUUAGUACUAUACAACAGGGAGGUCCAAGUCAGUUAGUACUAUACAACAGGGAGGUCCAAGUUAGUUAGUACUAUACAACAGGGAGGUCCAAGUUAGUUAGUACUAUACAACAGGGAGGUCCAAGUCAGUUAGUACUAUACAACAGGGAGGUCCAAGUUAGUUAGUACUAUACAACAGGGAGGUCCAAGUUAGUUAGUACUAUACAACAGGGAGGUCCAAGUUAGUUAGUACUAUCCAACAGGGAGGUCCAAGUUAGUUAGUACUAUCCAACAGGGAGGU